CACCACCUGCCCAAAUGCUAGUACGCUAGUUCCACGUAAGGAGAUCAAAGGCAAAUUUUCAAAGUUUUAAUGUUGAAAAUAAGAGUUAUAAAGGCAUGUGUAGUAAUCAUUGCAAGGGAUGAAAUCCAAAAACCAAUAGAGGACUGUCAAUAGCGACGGCAACACAUGAUUUAUAUCUUCGCUAUACAUCGAAAGCCUUGGAUGAGCGAAUGCG
rnacentral:rRNA from 1 species